CACCGCUGACGACCGGCGCACGGGUGCGUAACGCGUAUACAAUCUACCUUUUACAGGGGCAUAGCCCGGGGAAACCCGGAUUAAUAUCCCAUGGUAUCAUUUAGUGGCAUCACUUGAAUGAUUAAAGUUUCGGCGGUAAAAGAUGAGUAUGCGUUCUAUUAGCUAGAUGGUAAGGUAACGGCUUACCAUGGCUACGAUAGAUAGGGGUCCUGAGAGGGAGAUCCCCCACACUGGUACUGAGACACGGACCAGACUCCUACGGGAGGCAGCAGUGAGGAAUAUUGGACAAUGGGCGAGAGCCUGAUCCAGCCAUGCCGCGUGCAGGAAGACUGCCCUAUGGGUUGUAAACUGCUUUUAUACGGGAAGAAACACUCCCUCGUGAGGGAAUUUGACGGUACCGUACGAAUAAGGAUCGGCUAACUCCGUGCCAGCAGCCGCGGUAAUACGGAGGAUCCAAGCGUUAUCCGGAAUCAUUGGGUUUAAAGGGUCCGUAGGCGGGAUAAUAAGUCAGUGGUGAAAGUCUGCAGCUCAACUGUAGAACUGCCAUUGAUACUGUUGUCCUUGAGUAAUUAUGAAGUGGUUAGAAUAUGUAGUGUAGCGGUGAAAUGCAUAGAUAUUACAUAGAAUACCGAUUGCGAAGGCAGAUCACUAAUAAUUUACUGACGCUGAUGGACGAAAGCGUAGGUAGCGAACAGGAUUAGAUACCCUGGUAGUCUACGCCGUAAACGAUGGUUACUAGCUGUUUGGUCUAAUUGAGGACU
rnacentral:rRNA from 1 species